AAAGGAUAAGUGAAAGUAUGAAAGAAUAAGGUUACGGUUAAGCAUGGGUGGGGAAAGCAUAUAGAGUCUAAGGAAAGUAUGUGUGGCAGUAGUUCACGCUAGGUAUCCAUAGGAGAUGUGGCCCAUAAGAGAUGUGGCGAAUCCACAAGAAUAUGGAAGCACCCAUAGGAGAUGUGGCGAAUCCACAUGAAUAUGGGGUAGAAGCCUGGUGGGAGCUACCCACUGAUGAUAAGAACGAAGUGCCAACCGCGAGAGGCGGGAUAUAAAAACGUGCAUCAUGGUCGGGUAACGGGGAGUUAAAGGUGUCAUAGGAUCGAGUCGGUCUGGUAUGAUGAGUCGGUUAAGUCUAGGGUUUAACGUGUGUGGCAAUGAGUGAGUUCAUUGUAAUGAUUGAUCACUAGGUUGCUAGAAAUGUAUGGAAUUGAAUGUGGACAAUUAGUGAUUACAGUAUGAAAUGAUAAAAAUACAUUACCUGAUUGUAGUGGCUAGUCAGUCCUAGUUCCCGCAUAGAGUAGUAUAGAGUGUCAUGCGGGCAGGCUGGUCUAGAGCCACUUCACUGAGUAACUUGUUGCUCACUCCUCCAUUUCCACUUCCCUGUGCGCAGGACUGUAAGCAUCCAUUUCCAUUUCCCUGUGCGCAGGACUGUAAGUAGAAGUAUAUGGAUGUGGGUGUGGCGGUAUUUCAAAGAAGGUUAUGCGCCCGUCGGCUCUCGGGACCAGUAACGGGACACGUAGGGUUGUCUAAAUGACUAGACACGUGUCCAUAACGCCCUUUCGAUAACCCCGGUCGGACGCCGGGGGAUCGGGCCGUUACAAUUGGUAUCAGAGCGGGUUAAGAUCCCUUAGUUCUGUCCAAAGGGAUCGACAUUUCCGACGUUUUCGAAAAAAAAAAGAAAAAAAAAAUUUAUGGUGAUUAUUACUAAGUAUUUUCGGAUUGUGAAAAGAUUAUUUGAAAAUCCCACUAUAUCCAUACUUCUAUUAUGGUUCUGAUUGAAAUUUUAUUGCAGGAUGUUUUCGCUUGACCAUUAUGAGUGGAGGAUGCCGCGUAUGCACUACGGACGGAGGAACACCAGGGAGUAUGCCCAAAGGCGUCACCGUGACAUGGAGGGUAACUUGGUACUACCCAUGUUCCCGGAUCCUGAAGAGCAGUACAGGGAGUUUCCAUUCAGGUACCCACACGAGCAGACUGUGAGGCGUAAAGUGUUGAUGCCACAUUUCCAGAGGAUGGCUAUGGAGGAACGCCUACUGCAGGGCAAUGCGAGGUUCCAGCUUGCAACCGAAGAGGGGCCCCCGAGGAAGCGUGGCCGUCCAUGCAAGCCGCCAAGUGCAGCAGGGGGACCCCCAAGGGUGUUCACCGGGAAGUGCCAGUGUGGAGUGCUGAUCAAGAAUGCUCAGGAGGACCGAUCAGUCGCUGGAUACACCGAGGACUUCAUCAACCAAGCCAAGCUGUGCAAGCCAAAGAAUGCAGAGACAUGGUGCGGAUGGUAUAAGAACGGGCUUCACAAGGAAAUCCAGGCAGCAGUUGAGGGGUGUUUUGGAGCCCCUGGAGUUUGCGCUAGUGAGGCGGAUGGCAGGUUGCGCCAUUGAGGUAAAGGAGAAGAUUGCAGCCAAUGUGGCCGCUCUCUCGAGCAUGGAAGGAGGUAACCCGGGUAGGGACACCGAAGGCCAGGAGGUGUCGGUCGGGGAACUCGCUAAGGGAAAGCGGGGACGUCCGCAGAAACCUCCUACAGUAACAUGUGAUUGUGAUGUACAGGUCCAGAUGGUUCAGAAGCCACGCAAGGUGAGAGAUUACCUGGAGGAGUUCUUGCAUACGGCCAAGAGGUGCCAACCGAAGCCAGCAGAGGAGUGGUGUCAUCUGUUUAGGGCUGGGCUACGUGGAGAUAUUCGUGAAGAGCUCGUGGGAGUUCUGGAGCCUCUGGAAUUUUCACUGGUGAGAAGAAUGGCCAACCAAGCACUGCACGCAGAGGAGUGGUUGGCGGAAGGCGAGGCUGAGGCCGAGUAUGAUCGCGUCGCGGGGGGCGAUGAAGACCUUGGAUCCGAGACCCGCUGUGCCUCGCCAUGUCAAUGUGGCUAGACGAGAUCCUAGGGACUAUUAGUAGGAGUAGGACACGUGUUUCCCUAUUGGUUUUAUUUCAUUUAUUGGUUAUUGGAGUUGGUGUUCUUUCCAUUCUUUACGGCAUUCUGUGUUUUGUGCAGAUGUGCCGAGUUCUUUUUACAACUAUUGUGGUCCUACUCCUUUUAUUUAUGACAUUCAUUCGUUGGUUUUAAAGAUUCCAGUAGAGUUAUCAUGCCUUGUAUGCCUCCCUUGAUUGUUGUGUGAAUGCGUGAAUACAUUUCGGUAACGUACGAUUAGUCCGAAAGAUGUGGGCCUUGGAAUUCGGGGACGAAUUCCGAUUAACGGGGGAGGAUUGUAACGGCCCGGUUCCUGGCCCAUAAAAAUUUCCUUGAGAAUAUGGGCUUCUCUACGGCCCAUAUGGCAAAGACCUAGGGUUCCCUUCCGCUUUCCAGCGAUGAUUGAUUGGUAAUUUAUGCUUGUAUGUUUGGAUGUGUAGUCCCAUGAGUGGUUUGUGAUUAAAGCUAGGAUGCUAGAGAGAAAUGAAUGCUAAGCUGAUAGAUGAGUAAUGAUUGUUAAUGUUAUUGAAGUAGAACUUGAGUGCAAUGUGUAUUGUGUGUGACACCGAUAACGGGUGGCGUCUAGUGAAUGAGUCCAAGUACAAGUCUAAAUGAAAAGGAAAGCGAAUGAGAAUGGGAAGGGAUAAGUGAAAAUGAUAAGGAUGUGAAAGGAUAAGUGAAAGUAUGAAAGAAAAAGGUUACGGUUAAGCAUGGGUGGGGAAAGCAUAUAGAGUCUAAGGAAAGUAUGUGUGGCAGUAGUUCACGCUAGGUAUCCAUAGGAGAUGUGGCGAAUCCACAAGAAUAUGGAAGCACCCAUAGGAGAUGUGGCGAAUCCACAUGAAUAUGGGGUAGAAGCCUAGUGGGAGCUACCCACUGAUGAUAAGAACGAAGUGCCAACCGCGAGAGGCGGGAUAUAAAAACGUGCAUCAUGGUCGGGUAACGGGGAGUUAAAGGUGUCAUAGGAUCGAGUCGGUCUGGUAUGAUGAGUCG
rnacentral:lncRNA from 1 species